AGGCCGGUCGCAAGACUGAAACUCAAAGGAAUUGACGGGGGCCUGCACAAGCGGUGGAGCAUGUGGUUUAAUUCGAUACAACGUGCAGAACCUUACCAGCCCUUGACAUAUGAACAAGUGUGUCUGUCCCUAACGGGAUGGUGCGAAAAUUCAUACAGGUGCUGCAUGGCUGUCGUCAGCUCAUGUCGUGAGAUGUUUGGUUAAGUCCUAUAACGAGCAAAACCCUCGUUUUGUGUUGCUGAGACAUGCGCCAACGGAUCAAUGUCAUCGCCCCUUCUCAAUGAAUCAAUAGGGCGAGGGUGAGGGGAACGUGAAGUUCCGCUCAGAGUGUAAAUGCACUACUAAUUGUACAAAUAGGUUAUACAUAUUGGAAGGAUCAAUUUACAACUUAAAUCCUAAGUUAUUGAUCCUUGGCCAACUCUGGGCAUGCAAUUUAAUAUAGCUAAGUUUAACAAUUUGGCACAUUAGUUUUAGAAUGCAAUUGUUAUACA
rnacentral:ncRNA from 1 species